rnacentral:rRNA from 1 species
UACGUAGGGGGCUAGCGUUGUCCGGAUUUAUUGGGCGUAAAGAGCGUGUAGGCGGCUAGAUAGGUCCGUUGUGAAAACUGGAGGCUCAACCUCCAGCUGUCGAUGGAAACCAUCUGGCUAGAGUCCGGAAGAGGAGAGUGGAAUUCCUGGUGUAGCGGUGAAAUGCGCAGAUAUCAGGAAGAACACCCGUGGCGAAGGCGGCUCUCUGGGACGUGACUGACGCUGAGACGCGAAAGCGUGGGGAGCGAACAGG